AUUGAACGCUGGCGGCAUGCUUUACAUAUGCAAGUCGAACGGCAGCACGGACUUCGGUCUGGUGGCGAGUGGCGAACGGGUGAGUAAUACAUCGGAACGUACCCAGUAAUGGGGGAUAACUAUCCGAAAGGAUAGCUAAUACCGCAUACGCCCUACGGGGGAAAGAGGGGGAUCGCAAGACCUCUUGUUAUUGGAGCGGCCGAUGGCUGAUUAGCUAGUUGGUAGGGUAAAGGCCUACCAAGGCAACGAUAAGAAGCGGGUCGUAGAGGACGGUCCGCCACACUGGAACUGAGACACGGUCCAGAACCCUACGGGAGGCAGCAGUGGGGAAUCUUGGACAAUGGGCGCAAGCCUGAUCCAGCGAUGCGGCGUGCGUGAAGAGGGCCUUCGGGUUGUAAAGCGCUUUUGUCAGGGAGCAAAUCCUUGUGGCUAAUACCCACCGGGGAUGAGAGUACCUGAAGAAUAAGGACCGGCUAACUACGUGCCAGCCGCCGCAGUAACAC
rnacentral:rRNA from 1 species